GCACCCGUAGCUCAGCUGGAUAGAGUGUCAGAUUCCGAUUCUGAAGGCCGCGCGUUCGAACCGCGUCGGGUGUACCA
rnacentral:tRNA from 1 species